GGCGGGGCUUUCUGACUUUAAAUACCGUCGUUACUGGAAACAGUCUACAGAUAAAUGAGGACGGCGCUUCAGAUGUCUUCAUAUCCAUAACCCAUAUUUAAAUAAAUAUCUGUUUUUGUCUUACUAGAAGAGGCUAACAGAGUUUGUCUAACUGGUACAGAGAUUUGACUGAUUAUUUAUGAAUAAUAAUAAAUUGAAUUUUCUGUUCAAGACCUCAAAGCCGCUUUAUGGGAACGACUCCCUGUUGAUCUGAGAGGCGUCACCCUGAGACACAUUUGAUAUAUGUCUGGCCUUUUUAUUGUCUCUUAUCUUUGUUGCUGCUCUUAAAAACUCACCUUUUAAGUUAUAUUUUUGGGCUUUUUAUGCCUUUCAUGACAGAGAGAGAAGUGUAGAUCGUGCAUACAGCAAAUGGCCACAGGUCGGACUUGAACCACUGUGGCAAGGAUUCAGCCUUUGUAUAUGGGUUGCCUGUGCUACCGGGUGACCCACCAAGACACCCAAAAUUACUUAUUUUUUGAGUGUGAUCAUUUUUAUCAAGAUGUGGUGACCUGGAGGACAGGUGAGGCUUGUUAACCUGGAGGACAGGUGAGGCUCGUUAACGAGCAGCAGAGACUGAAGGAGACUCAGGGGAGCAAACACUCAGCCCAGGUUUUGGUGCAGGAUGGAGCAGCCUGAGGUUCUGUCCACCAUCGACCCGGCCGCUCUGCUGAUGGCAGAGGAUGAAGGCGUGAAGAAGAGCAGCAGCUGUGUGUUCUUGGAGCGACACCGCAGGAAACGCAUCACUCAGAGCUGCAGGGCGCUGCGACAGCUUCUACCCACAAUCCACAGCAGCGGCCAUGUUGACAUGGUGAGAGUGCUGGAGACAACGGUGGCUUUCCUGGAGAUGGUCCAGGAAAUAGUCAGUGCCGAAGAACAAAAGAUACAGUUGUGUCCUCCUGCUGAGCUUCAUGCUGAUUGGCUGCUACAGAGUCAGGAUAGUAGGGAUGUUGGACACAAAAUGGCCGCCGAGCAGCAGAAGAAGAAGAACAGGAGCGGAGGCGUCCUGUUGAAGAAGAGGGCGAGCAGGAGACAGCCAGACAGACAGCUUCCUGUCUGUCUGUAACUUCAUGUCGCCAUGGUGACAAGGAUCACAGUAUCCUGUAUUAAUAAUAAUUCUUACAGUUUGGGUCUUUUAUUUUGGAAGAACUGAUUUCCUGUAAAGAUUAAAGUGUUUGAUUUUUGUUGUAAAUUAUUUUAUUUUUAUUUUGUUCAAAAGUUGUACUUCCUGUUGCCAUGUCUAUGUUUCAAUAUAACGAAUAUUUCAAUAAUUAAUCAACAUUUCAGUUUCAUGAUUUAAUAUAAUUUAUAUAGGGGGCAGGCAUAACAAAAUGUAGGGUUUAAAGGUGCAUGAAAAAAACUGAGACAAGUGCCGGAAAGGUCAUUUUUCAAAAUAAAAUACCCUGCAGACUAAUAU
rnacentral:lncRNA from 1 species